rnacentral:rRNA from 1 species
UGGGGAAUAUUGCACAAUGGGCGAAAGCCUGAUGCAGCGACGCCGCGUGAGGGAUGACGGCCUUCGGGUUGUAAACCUCUUUCAGCAGGGACGAAGCGCAAGUGACGGUACCUGCAGAAGAAGCACCGGCUAACUACGUGCCAGCAGCCGCGGUAAUACGUAGGGUGCAUGCGUUGUCCGGAAUUACUGGGCGUAAAGAGUUCGUAGGCGGUUUGUCGCGUCGUUUGUGAAAACCAGCAGCUCAACUGCUGGCUUGCAGGCGAUACGGGCAGACUUGAGUACUGCAGGGGAGACUGGAAUUCCUGGUGUAGCGGUGAAAUGCGCAGAUAUCAGGAGGAACACCGGUGGCGAAGGCGGGUCUCUGGGCAGUAACUGACGCUGAGGAACGAAAGCGUGGGUAGCGAACAGG